rnacentral:tRNA from 2 species
GCCUGGGUGGCGAAAUGGCAGACGCGCACGAUUCAGGUUCGUGUGGGGGUAACCCCUUGGAGGUUCAAGUCCUCUUCCAGGCA